GAGAGGAAAAAAAUAAAAAAUAAAAAAGAAGAAAACGCGUUGUCUCUUCUCGUUCCUUUCUUACUUUCAUUCGUUCCUGCACCAAAGAAAACAAAAGGGGAAAACCUAGCUAGCCUCCACCGCCGCCGAACUUAGUGACCCACUGCCACCGUCCGUGGCCAUUCGAGGAGUCUCUCUUUCUACUGUUGACGUUAUCCAAAUCGAACCCCCUGUUCUCUGUCUUCUUCCUUAGCUUGCUUGGUGCCCAUCCUCCAUUAGAUUCAUCCUGCUCGCGGUCGUCCUGUUGCCGUCGCCGUCGCCUCGUCACCCUCUCGAAGGGUUUUGUGCUUUUGUUCAAAUCAUUGAUUUGCUCUGGGUUCUGGGUGUGUUGCUGUGGAUUCUGGGUUCUGGGUGUGCUGCCGUGGAUUCUGGGUUCUGGGUGUGCUGUUGUGUGUUUUGCAGCUCUGCUAUGCUGCUGCUGCUUGGUGUUUUUGUUGAAAUCAUUGAAUGAUUAUUUGUUAAAUUUUUUUAGUAUGUUGUUAAUGUGCUUUGAACUAGCCAGUUGCUGGGCAUUGGGUACCCAUUUCGCAUUAUGUUGCCAUGUCACAUGCUUGUAAUUACUUUAUAUUCAGUUAGGUCUCACAGUUUUAGUUAAGCAUUACUUGCUUGGUCCAAUAAGUAUGUUCUCUGGUUUCCUAGAGCAAACAGUUUGUGAAAUCUGCAAGAGAAGCAACACUUGCAGGAUCAGCAAUAUCAAGCUGGUGAAAGAGCACAAAAUCUGAGAGAUCUUUGAGUUUUUCCCUUUUUUAUUCUAUUGGGGCUUGAGGCAUGCUUCUGAUUGCUGGAGAAUAAAUGAUUUUAGGGCUUGAUGGACCUGUUGUGCAGCUAUCAAAAGAUCCGACGAUGAGCUUCCAAUUUUCAGCACCUGGUUAGUGAAGGUUCUCUUGCUGGAUCUGGGUACUCCUUGGCUUAUCUGCUGUUGUAGGAUUGGUCUUCUAUGUUGUGCAUCAUAACCAAAAUGAAGAAGAGGACAAAUAUCUUUCUGGAAAAAUAUUACUAUGCAUAUUCUCUGUUUGAUAAUUUGUUUGUUAUGUUUUGU